rnacentral:misc_RNA from 1 species
GAUGAAGAACGCAGCGAAAUGCGAUAAGUAAUGUGAAUUGCAGAAUUCAGUGAAUCAUCGAAUCUUUGAACGCACAUUGCGCCCGCCAGCAUUCUGGCGGGCAUGCCUGUUCGAGCGUCAUUUCAACCCUCAAGCUCUGCUUGGUGUUGGGGCCCUACGGUUGACGUAGGCCCUUAAAGGUAGUGGCGGACCCUCUCGGAGCCUCCUUUGCGUAGUAACUAACGUCUCGCAUUGGGAUUCGGAGGGACUCUUGCCGUAAAACCCCCAAAUUUUCUAAUGGUUGACCUCGGAUCAGGUAGGAAUACCCGCUGAACUUAAGCAUAUCAAUAAGCGGA